CCUACGGGGGGCUGCAGUGGGGAAUAUUGCACAAUGGGCGCAAGCCUGAUGCAGCCAUGCCGCGUGUGUGAAGAAGGCCUUCGGGUUGUAAAGCACUUUCAGCGGGGAGGAAGGCGUUAAGGUUAAUAACCUUGGCGAUUGACGUUACCCGCAGAAGAAGCACCGGCUAACUCCGUGCCAGCAGCCGCGGUAAUACGGAGGGUGCAAGCGUUAAUCGGAAUUACUGGGCGUAAAGCGCACGCAGGCGGUCUGUCAAGUCGGAUGCGAAAUCCCCGGGCUCAACCUGGGAACUGCAUUCGAAACUGGCAGGCUAGAGUCUUGUAGAGGGGGGUAGCAUUCCAGGUGUAGCGGUGAAAUGCGUAGAGAUCUGGAGGAAUACCGGUGGCGAAGGCGGCCCCCUGGACAAAGACUGACGCUCAGGUGCGAAAGCGUGGGGAGCAAACAGGAUUGGAUACCCCGGUAGUC
rnacentral:rRNA from 1 species